rnacentral:lncRNA from 1 species
UGAAAUUUCGCAUCUGUCUGUGAAAAAUCAUAAUUUUCUGACACCGUUGGAAAAUCGCCGCCGGUCAACGGCCGGCGCGUGGUGGUCACGCGCCGGUGACACUUCACCAGAAUGUGGGGAAUUUUGUUACGGACCCAAUUCCAUCAUCGGUUUUUCCACAUGAGGCCCAGACAGUGCUCAAUCAGGGCCGAAAGACCUAUGCUACUGCAGUUUCUGGCCGUCCGGGCCUAUCUCAAGCUGAACGGAGUUCACGA